GCUCGAGUGGCGGAAUUGGUAGACGCGUUGGAUUCAAAAUCCAAUGUCGCAAGACGUGCGGGUUCGAUUCCCGCCUCGAGUACGA
rnacentral:tRNA from 1 species